rnacentral:lncRNA from 1 species
ACGUCAUAUUCAUGAAUUCCGUUUAUUUAUUUGUUUACAGUGUGGAUGUAAUUUUACUUAUCCAAAUUGAAUUCAAUUUAAAUAUUAACUUUGCAAAUACACAGCAUUUUAAUUCAGAUUUAUGUUUGUAAAUCAAGUUGUUUUAUUUCUUUUAUUUUAAAAAAUUGAUAUAUUUUCUUCCAGUUCAGGAGAAAAUGCAUCAGAUAUAUUUUCUCCUAAUUCGGGAGAAAGCAAAAAUAAUCAGCGAUCUCCUUCUUUGACUUAGAAUAAUUUUAAACGGAAAUAGUUUUUUAAAUAAUUUUAAUUAUUCAUUAAAUUUAAAUAAUUUAAUGAAUAAUUUUAAACGGAAAUAGUUUUUUACUAGAAAAAUUUGUUUUAUAAUAUGUAAUAGAAUUUUAUUGUCUUUUUAAUAUUAAUUCUGACCAAAUAUCUCAUGUCUACAUUUGCGUCGCCAAUAGCCCAUUGUGCUCUAGUGCAACGUAAAUAUAGUACCUACCUACAUGUCUACAUUUGAAUUUAAUGUUGUAAGCAUAUUAGUAAAAUGAUUUCUGAAUCAAAGAUUUGCAGUUCAGAACCUGCGCCUAAAUAAUGGCCAAGUUUUGUCACAGAUCCUUUUUUUGCUGAAAUCAGGAAAUAAAAGGUGUCUCUAACCAGAAUGAAAUUUGCUGUUUUAUUAGUCACUGAUAAUGAUUAAAGUGUAAAAGUUGUAACUGCUGAGUAAAUAAUUGACAGAAAAACUUUAGGUAAAUUGGACAAAUAUAAAAUGUCAUAAGUUGAGGACAUUGAAUUUAAGGCAAACCACAUUUCUUUCCAAAUAUUUUCUCGUGAAGAAGAACAUGUGCUCGAAGUUUAUUUACUGUUUGCUUCAAAAAUUAAAUUACAGUUUAACUUCAAUAGCAGCACGAGCUUUAGCAUUCCAAUAUGCUUAAGUGAAAAGCAAAGUCAUUUUUGAAAAUUGCUCUGACAAAAUUGCAAAUUAUGACUGGUUGAAGGGUUAUUUACACAGGCAAGCAAAUUUAUUGUUGCAGAGACCUGAAUUAACUAGUUUAUCCAGAGCCACUGCUUUCAACAAAACAACUGUUGGUGAGUUUUUCAACAAUUUAAGCUGCAUCUUAGAAAGAAAUUUUUUUUCUCACCAGAAGCAAUUUUAAUUGUUGAUGAGACUGGCAGCAUUACAACUGUGCACGAACCAGGAAAAAUUAUUGCUUUAAAAAAUGAGAAACAGAUAUUGCAAAUCACCUCAAAUUCACAACCUAAUCUAGUUUCCUGCUCUAUAUUAGUUGCAUCAUGAAAGUAAAUGCAAAUGUAUGUAGCUUCAGUUUCAUUUACCCUGAAAAAGAAGAUGUUGCAACAGUAUCCAAAGGAGAUGUCAUUAAGCUCCCUCAUCCAAUGAUCAGUGAAGGCACUGAAAGAGUUGCUCUAAAAAUGAAAUUUGACUGAUAUUUUUAAAUAUCAAAACAUUUACUGAUACAAACUGAUUUCGAUUUAAUUGAACAAUUUUUGUUCAAACUUGUUAUUUUUAACUACUAAAUAAAUAUUUGGUAUUUCUUUAGA